CCUUCCCCUCCCCCCUGCCUCCCUCUUGGCUUGUAGGGCGGUGUCCCCCUCCCCCCCUCGUCCCCUGGGCACUGGCCCUUCCCCCUUCUCAGGCUGGCACCUCCACCCCUUAACUGCUCCUCCUCUCCACUUCAUCGGGCUUAUUCCCUCUCUGUUCCCCUCCUCCACUCAGGCCAUCCCCCACCAUCUCAAUUCAGACCCCAGCCUGGCUCUGACCUCCUUUUCCUCCCCUUCCUCACCCCCGGCCCCCAUCCCCGGCCCGGAAUCGCCAAAACCUAGUCUGACCCUGCCUCUUUUUGGAGAUGCUUGCUUGUUUCCCUCGCCCACGCCUAGGGCUUUGGGAAGUAUUUUCUAGCCCCUGAAGCUGAGAGUUCUUUCCACCACCGCUACCCCGCUCCCAAAAAGUAAAUGGGGAAGGGGGGCGCUACAAUGACCGUGAGGGUAAAUGGAACCCUCCCCUUAUUGGUCAGGAGAGUGAAUGGAAUUCCCCCAUUGGCCAGGCGGGUGAAUGGAAUCCCCCCUUUAUUGGCCCUGAAGGGGUUCAUUCCCCCCAUUCCUGACUGUAUCCAGUUCCGAGCCUUUCCAACCGAGACGCCCCUCCUCAUCCCUCCGCAGAGCAAGUUGGAGCCGAUGUUCCGCAUACAGUGGAUGAUUAAUGUUCAGUAUUCGUGGGGCUUGGCUGCUUGUUUUCCCUGGGAAAUGGGAAAGACUUAAGCUCAGGUAUGAAUACCCAUGAGACCAGCUGCUCUCAAGCAUCUUCCAGAUACCUAGAUCCAAGACUCCAAAUCCCACAGCCUGGACUCCAAGAUGGAACCAUGUACCAAACCCAAGGUGCGCGUGCGUGCGUGCAUGCAUGCGUGCGUGUGCAUGCGUGUGUGUGUGUGUGUGUGUGUGUGUGUAUACACAUUAGGCAGAAAGAGAAGGCACCUCUGAAGGGUCUGAAGCACUGCCUUCUUUCCAUUCACCCAAGUUUGCAACCUUAGAUUCAUCCUGGGCACUCCCUUCUAUCCUCUCCUUCCUCCAUAUCACAUCAGUUGACAAAUUCCAUUGGUUUUACUCCUAAAACAUCUCUUGAACUCAUCCCUUUUCCCUACUCAUGUGCCUUUUACCUUAGUUCAGGCUCUCAGUAAUCUCAUCACUGUUGCAAUAAUCUCCUUCCCAUCACAACCAAGACAAAUACUGCCCCCCCAAAAAAAAGAGGUAGCCCAAGGACACAUCUGCACAGAGGAGGGGAUGGACAAGGAUGCUGCUGCUCCCCUGAAGACUAAUGAGAAGAAACAGUUUCAUAAGAACCCAGGGAAACAUGGAGAUCACCCUUACUCAACAUGGCACAAGAGAUGAAUGAUAUGUACUGAGAAGAGGCCAUCAGCUUUUGCAAUUAAUAGAUCACUUGUAACUUUGGAGAAAGCGUUUCAGUCAAGUGAUGAAGUUGUAAGCCAGAAGGGGCUGGGAAGUGAAUAUGAUAGGAGAAAAUGGUGAGUGUAAACAGGUCUUUGUAGGAGUCAGACUUCGAGAGGAAGACGCUGGAAGAGGAUGAUGGUAACUUGAGGGGCCAUAGUAUCAAAUUAAAGUUUCAUCAAGAUUGGAGACGAUGCAGUAUUAUUUGUAAGUAAUAAGGAAGGAGUCAGGAUUAGGAGGGACUGAAUCAAAGAGAGGGGCUAAUGCAAGGGGUAUUCUGUUGGACAUGGAGGGGAUGGGAUCGACGGCACUGUUGCCCCAUUUGCACAACCUGAUGGAUGUGGAUGACGUGGGGGUAAUCUGCCUGAAAGGAAAAGGGCCAUGUCUCCAAGGCUGAAACAAUGGAGGAGAAAGUGGGAGAUAAUAUUGAGGGGCUGUGUUGUACAGAAUUGGGGAAAAGAGAGUUCAGGAUUGUGGUCUUCAUUUUUUUCAGUACUUUGUGAUGUCCUCUACUGGAAAAGAGUGGGAAGAGGUUGUAAAUAACUUGUGGAAGAAAGAGAAGGUUUAAUACAGAUGCUGAGAGAAGUGGGAGAGUUAGUCAAGUACCAGGUGAAAUCAAGAGAAUGAUUUAUGUGAUGACCACAAUAAACAAAAGCAACUUUGGAUAUCUCA
rnacentral:lncRNA from 1 species